rnacentral:misc_RNA from 1 species
GUUCAAAUUUGAAUGCCCAAGUAUAUUGAUGUGGAACAUAUUCUUGCUAGUUACUUAAUUGAGUACAAAAGGUGAAUUUGCUGUAAGUUUGAUUAGUGCAAGAAAUUGAUUUUUGGGGAAGUUAGGAGACACCUUUUUUCAGAAGGUUGUGACCAUAAUUGCUUAGUUCAAAAUCAGAGAAAGUGCAAAUGAGAAAUGGUCAUGUAUCAGCCGAAUGCUCCAUCGUUAGUAGCAUGGAAAUCAUAACAAAAGCUUGGGACUUGGGAAUAGGAAUAUUUGAGAAAAAAUGCCGAAGCAGUUAGUAAUAUCAAUCAAAGAAAAUUCGAUUCCUG